rnacentral:lncRNA from 1 species
AGCAUCAACCAGCUCCUGGGGUCCCAGUCCAAGGCCGGCCCAUGGCCCUCCGCUCCAAGCCUGGAGCACCACCCGCCCAAGGUGAUGACGGCAAGGACCCGGGGUCGGUGGCCUCCCUACCUCUGCAGCCCCAGGCCCACAAGGGUCUCCCUCUGCACAAAGCUCUGCCAACCGAAACAAAGCGUCCAGGGUGCCCCCCUACCCCCCAGAUUAGGGACCCGGAAUUUGGGAAACAGCAUUCCCAAGGCGCUCCUUACCCACGGGGAGGGAAAGAUCUCGGUCCAGAACCGUCGCAGUGGUUUCUGCAAGGUCCCCCACCUUCAGGCAGGACGCUGCGCCCCCAUUUCCAGGACUGGUCCUUGGACACCGGGAGGCACCAAGGAGGGCCUGGCCAGGAGCCAGGACCUAGACAGCGCUGGGGGGCCCUCCCCACACCCCCAACCCCGGAGUGGCAGAGGCGGCGGAAGCACAGAGCACAGGGUCCACAUCUGGGCGCACAGCCUUCCAGCAUUGAGCGCGCGCUUGGGCGCCGAGCCAGUGUCCCUGCCUACCCUGGGGGAUGACACGCCUGCCUUUCAGGUCCUUGUAGGAUUCCAGAACACCCGCGCCCGGGGCGCUCAGCUGAAUCGCUUCCAGCAGCUUGCCAGGGUCACCGCUCCAAACGCCGACAUUACCCUCCUGUCCAGCAGCGGCCUCCCCAGCGGUCCAGGUGCAGGAGGCUCAGCCCCUGCCCAGGACUUUCCCGGUCCGGGGAGGGCGGCGGCGGCGGGGCGGGGCUGCGUAGAGGCCCGAAGGCCGACAGGACAGCAGGAGCACGGCCGGCGCUGCCGACACAGCCACAACCGGGCCACACGGUUAAGAGCGCACGGUGCGGGAGCAGGCUCCCGUUGCUAGAACCGUCUAGUUUUCAAGAGCAAGUGGAGCACACUCCAGAUUCCUCUAGGUCAAUCGUGAUAGGGCCCAGCAGCUGGAAUUAGAGCUCAUGCCGCACCACUGUCAGUUUUCUCCAGAAAGCGAACUCUUUUCUCCCAGAAGGGCUCUCGAGUGCACACCUAGCCUCUCAGUGUACACGCCCCACUUAACCAAGAUACAACGUUUAAAGUACUUUUUGCUGUUUAAACUGUAAUGCCACGCUUUUGGGUUUUUUUUUUGGUGAGGAAGAUUGUCCCUGAGCUAACAUCUGUGACCAUCUUCCUCUAUUUUGUAUCUGGGACACCCCCACCGCAUGGCUUGAUGAGCUGUGCAUAGGUCUGCGCCCAGAAUAGGAGCC